UGUAGUUACUACUUUGUGGUUUAAAAUUCUAGAUAGAAUUAUGAUGAUGACAUUAUCUAUCUAUAAGUCUUGACCAAAAUACGUGCCAGCAGUCGCGGUAAUACGUAAAAGACAAGUGUUAUUCAUCUUUAUUGGGUUUAAAGAGUACCAAGACGGUUAAUAAAGCCCAAAAUACAUGAGCACGGGGGACACAUUAACUAGAGUUAUAUGAAAGGAAGCACUAAAGUACUGUUGAGUGUAGAGAUAAAAUUCUAUCAUACCAGAUAAAGGCACAGAUUUAUGCGAAGGCAUCUUCUUAUGUAAUAACUGACGUUGUAGGACGAAGGCUUUUUAAGUGAAGAGGAUUAGAGACCCUUGUAAUCUAAGCAGAAAAUGAUGAAUGUCAUAGGUUUAAUAUAUUAUUGGGUCUAUAAAUGAAAGUGUAAGCAUUCCACCUCAAGAGUAAUUUGGCAACAUUGGAACUGAAAUCAUUAGACCGUUUCUGAAACCAGUAGUGAAGUAUGUUGUUUAAUUAGAUGAUACACAAAAAACCUUACCACAAUUUGAAUAUAUAUCUUUAAAGAUAUUUACAAGCGUUGCACGGCUGUCUUCAGUUAAUGUCGUGAGAUUGUGGUUAGUUCCAUAAAAUUAACGUAAACCCUCGUUUUAUUUAUAAAUAAAAUU
rnacentral:rRNA from 1 species